CUACCAUGUGGGGAGGUCCGUUUAGUAUCCCAAAACUGCUUAGCAACGGUCGGACAAGUGGGUAACGUUGGGGUGAACCAAAAAUUGGGUAGAGCCGGAUCUAAGUGUUGGCUAGGUAAACGCCUCGUAGUAAGAGGGGUAGUUAUGGACCCUGUGGACCACCCCCAUGGGGGCGGUGAAGGGAAAGCUCCCAUUGGUAAAAAAACCACAACCCCUUGGGGUGAUCCUGCACUUGGAAGAAGAACUAGGAAAAGGAAAAAAUAUAGUGAUAGUUUUAUUCUUUGUUGCCGUAAGUAA
rnacentral:rRNA from 1 species